AACGAACGCUGGCGGCAGGCUUAACACAUGCAAGUCGAGCGCCCCGCAAGGGGAGCGGCAGACGGGUGAGUAACGCGUGGGAAUCUACCCAUCCCUACGGGAUAACACAGAGAAAUUUGUGCUAAUACCGUAUACGUCCUUCGGGAGAAAGAUUUAUCGGGGAUGGAUGAGCCCGCGUCGGAUUAGCUAGUUGGUGGGGUAAUGGCCUACCAAGGCGACGAUCCGUAGCUGGUCUGAGAGGAUGACCAGCCACAUUGGGACUGAGACACGGCCCAGACUCCUACGGGAGGCAGCAGUGGGGAAUCUUAGACAAUGGGGGAAACCCUGAUCUAGCCAUGCCGCGUGAUCGAUGAAGGCCUUAGGGUUGUAAAGAUCUUUCAGUGGGGAAGAUAAUGACUGUACCCACAGAAGAAGCCCCGGCUAACUCCGUGCCAGCCGCCGCGGUAACAC
rnacentral:rRNA from 1 species